rnacentral:rRNA from 1 species
CUACGGGAGGCAGCAGUGGGGAAUCUUAGACAAUGGGCGCAAGCCUGAUCUAGCCAUGCCGCGUGAGUGAUGAAGGCCUUAGGGUCGUAAAGCUCUUUCGCCUGUGAUGAUAAUGACAGUAUCUGGUAAAGAAACCCCGGCUAACUCCGUGCCAGCAGCCGCGGUAAUACGGAGGGGGUUAGCGUUGUUCGGAAUUACUGGGCGUAAAGCGCACGUAGGCGGACCAGAAAGUUGGGGGUGAAAUCCCGGGGCUCAACCCCGGAACUGCCUCCAAAACUCCUGGUCUAGAGUUCGAGAGAGGUGAGUGGAAUUCCGAGUGUAGAGGUGAAAUUCGUAGAUAUUCGGAGGAACACCAGUGGCGAAGGCGGCUCACUGGCUCGAUACUGACGCUGAGGUGCGAAAGUGUGGGGAGCAAACAGGAUUAGAUACCCUGGUAGUCCACACCGUAAACGAUGAAUGCCAGUCGUCGGGCAGUAUACUGUUCGGUGACACACCUAACGGAUUAAGCAUUCCGCCUGGGGAGUACGGUCGCAAGAUUAAAACUCAAAGGAAUUGACGG